rnacentral:rRNA from 1 species
CAGUCGCCACGGUAAUACGGAGGGGGCUAGCGUUGUUCGGAAUUACUGGGCGUAAAGCGUACGUAGGCGGCUUUGUAAGUUAGAGGUGAAAGCCCGGGGCUCAACCCCGGAAUUGCCUUUAAGACUGCAUCGCUUGAAUCGCGGAGAGGUGAGUGGAAUUCCGAGUGUAGAGGUGAAAUUCGUAGAUAUUCGGAAGAACACCAGUGGCGAAGGCGGCUCACUGGACGCGUAUUGACGCUGAGGUACGAAAGCGUGGGGAGCAAACAGGAUUAGAUACCCCAGUAGUCCCUGUCUCUUAUAC